UCAAUUGUAGUUAAAUGGUAGAACAUUAUCUUUAUUGAUAAAAGCGCAGGUUCGAGUCCUGUCAGUUGGU
rnacentral:tRNA from 1 species